CAGUGGAAAGCUGGGGACAAAUGAAAUGGACGUGGGAAUCGAUGCCUCCGGCCGUGAGAAUAAGUCCUUCGCCAGCCACAACUUCCGUAUUUACCUGUGUUGUCGAGACAAUAACUUAGUAGCGAGGAAGAUGAUGAUAGAAGAACUUACUCCCACGAUCAUGUUGGACGAUACCGCGUCCAUCACGUCGGGAUUUCCAGCCUUUCCAAUCCCACAAAUGUAACCAUGCUUGAUGCCUACGUCCGCUUUGUAGAUUCCCGUGUAGUCGAUCACCACAGCGUUUGUGAUGACUGUGUCGAGCGUCUCGUCGGCCUUGUAGCCGGUUCCCUGUCCCAUCCCAUCGCGG
rnacentral:sRNA from 1 species